rnacentral:rRNA from 1 species
UUGGAGGGCAAGUCUGGUGCCAGCAGCCGCGGUAAUUCCAGCUCCAAUAGCGUAUAUUAAAGUUGUUGCAGUUAAAAAGCUCGUAGUUGAAUUUCGGGAUCANUNCGUCGGUCGUGCCUCUGGUAUGUACUGGNGUUNUUGGUUUCUCCUUUCUGAGNANCCAUGAUGCCAUUAAUUUGGUGUCGUGGGGAAUCAGGACUGUUACUUUGAAAAAAUUAGAGUGUUUAAAGCAGGCACACGCUUGAAUACAUUAGCAUGGAAUAAUGAAAUAGGACGUUCGAUNCUAUUUUGUUGGUUUCUAGGAUCAACGUAAUGAUUAAUAGGGAUAGUUGGGGGCAUUAGUAUUCAAUUGUCAGAGGUGAAAUUCUUGGAUUUAUUGAAGACUAACUACUGCGAAAGCAUUUGCCAAGGAUGUUUUCAUUAAUCAAGAACGAAAGUUAGGGGAUCGAAGACGAUCAGAUACCGUCGUAGUCU